rnacentral:tRNA from 1 species
ACCCGGUUAGAUCAGUCAGUAGAGCAUAAGAUUUUUAAUCUCAGGAUCGUGAGUUCGAGCCCUACGUCAAGC